rnacentral:rRNA from 1 species
UGGGGAAUAUUGGACAAUGGGGGCAACCCUGAUCCAGCAAUUCUGUGUGCACGAUGAAGGUCUUCGGAUUGUAAAGUGCUUUCAGCAGGGAAGAAAAAAAUGACGGUACCUGCAGAAGAAGCGACGGCUAAAUACGUGCCAGCAGCCGCGGUAAUACGUAUGUCGCGAGCGUUAUCCGGAAUUAUUGGGCAUAAAGGGCAUCUAGGCGGCCGGAUAAGUCUGGGGUGAAAACUUGCGGCUCAACCGCAAGCCUGCCCUGGAAACUAUGCGGCUAGAGUACUGGAGAGGUGGACGGAACUGCACGAGUAGAGGUGAAAUUCGUAGAUAUGUGCAGGAAUGCCGAUGAUGAAGAUAGUUCACUGGACGGUAACUGACGCUGAAGUGCGAAAGCUAGGGGAGCAAACAGGAUUAGAUACCCUGGUAGUCCUAGCUGUAAACGAUGAUUACUGGGUGUGGGCAUGAAGAGUGUCCGUGCCGAAGCUAAUGCGAUAAGUAAUCCGCCUGGGGAGUACGGCCGCAAGGCUG